CAACACUGUAAUUCAUUGCUCAAGGUCAUAAAAGGUUGUAAAUUUUAAAUAGCCCUCCUUCAGCUGAAAACACUGCAGAAAUAGCUCAUUAGUAGAUCACUGCUGAAUGAAUGACUAAAGCAGAGGUAUCUAUUUUGUUUUGGUAUUUUCAUGAACUCCGAUCAGUUCAGCCGGUGACGCGCUGGUCGCGCCGUCGCCUGCGCUGUGACGUCACCGCCCCGGCAGUGCGGCGAGGGGCCGGCAGGGGGCGCCAGGGAGCCGCGGCGGCGCCGCAGCUGCUGGAGACGGAACAGAAUGUGCUGCCAACGCGCAGAGCCUGGAAGAGCUUGUCCGACACAUCUGUCUCCUGCAGGAGCGGCGGGGGGAUGUGCUAUAAACAGGAAGGGCAGCAGCACCUACUGCAGCUCCUCUGACUGUCUCAGCUCAGGAGCUCGUUGAACUCGGGAUCCCAGUCCUGUUUCCUGAAAGAAAGCAGCUUCACC
rnacentral:lncRNA from 1 species